UACGAAGGGGGCUAGCGUUGCUCGGAAUCACUGGGCGUAAAGGGUGCGUAGGCGGGUCUUUAAGUCAGAGGUGAAAUCCUGGAGCUCAACUCCAGAACUGCCUUUGAUACUGAAGAUCUUGAGUUCGGGAGAGGUGAGUGGAACUGCGAGUGUAGAGGUGAAAUUCGUAGAUAUUCGCAAGAGCACCAGUGGCGAAGGCGGCUCACUGGCCCGGAACUGACGCUGAGGCGCGAAAGCGUGGGGAGCAAACGGG
rnacentral:rRNA from 1 species